rnacentral:rRNA from 1 species
GAUGAACGCUAGCGGCAGGCCUAAUACAUGCAAGUCGAGGGGCAGCGCGGUAGCAAUACUGGCGGCGACCGGCGCACGGGUGCGUAACACGUAUGCAACCUACCUUCAACUGGAGGAUAGCCCGGGGAAACUCGGAUUAAUACUCCAUAACACAGGGAUCCCGCAUGGGAAUAUUGUUAAAGCUACGGCGGUUGAAGAUGGGCAUGCGUUCGAUUAGCUAGUUGGUGUAGGUAACGGCUCACCAAGGCUACGAUCGAUAGGGGGUCUGAGAGGAUGAUCCCCCACACUGGUACUGAGACACGGACCAGACUCCUACGGGAGCAGCAGUAAGGAAUAUCGGUCAAUGGAGGCAACUCUGAACCAGCCAUGCCGCGUGCAGGAUGACGGCCCUAUGGGUUGUAAACUGCUUUUAUACAAGAGAAAACCCUGGUACGUGUACCAGGUUGAUAGUAUUGUAAGAAUAAGCAUCGGCUAACUUCGUGCCAGCAGCCGCGGUAAUC